UCCCAGCACUUCGUAAGGCCAAGUUCUACCUGUUGCCCAAGCCCGUAUCCUGUCAGGCCGCCCACUCUCGCACCUGCCAAGACUCCUGCCCAGCAGACCGCCAGGCCUAAGGGAUCAGCCCCAUCACUCAAAUGCCUCUGGCCACCAUGGGCUGAAUGCAGAGCCCCAAGAACCUAUGUGGAGGGCUCCAGAAGGAAGUGGCCAGCGGCCCAGGCCUGCGGCUCAGCUGGCUGUGCAAGGAUGAAGGUCGGCACACCCACCAGCCCCAGCCAGGGUAUCAAGGGAAAGAGCCCCAGGUGGCAGGACCCCCAGAGCCACCGUUGUGGAAUCCAGAGGAACUGUGUGUACAGGGCAGGAGACAAGCCCUGAGCCAGGACAGGCCCUGAGGUUCCAAGAAAGGAGGGACCUCAACUGCACGGCUCCGGCCAGAGGCCACUGAGAAGGCUGGACCACCCUGAGCACCGCCAAGCUCUUGGGGGCCGGGCCCAGACCCUCCCUCGUGCAUGAGCAGACACCGGCCUCCCGCCCAGCC